rnacentral:rRNA from 1 species
UACAGGGGGGGCUAGCGUUACCCGGUUUUAUAGGCGUAAAGGGUACGUAGGCGGCUGUUUCAACUGCGGGUGAAAUCCUGGGACGAUGCUAAGUAAGUUUUUCAGAAUGGCCUGUGGUAAUGAACAGAUGUAGAGUUAAUUGGGGGUUGGGGGAAUUUCCAGAGUAGGGGUAAAAUCCGUAAAUACUGGAAGGAACACCAUAGGCGAAGGCGCCCUUCUCUUGUUAACUGACGCUGAGGUACGUAGGUUUAGGGAGCAAACGGG